UUUCGCAAUGCCCGAAAGGGUGACGAAGCGACGCCGCGUGGGUGAGGAAGGCCCUCGGGUUGUAAAGCCCUGUCAGGAGUUAAGAAAUGUAAGUGCGCUAAUAUCGCAUUUAUUUGACGAAGGCUCCAAAGGAAGCCACGGCUAACUCUGUGCCAGCAGCCGCGGUAAUACAGAGGUGGCAAGCGUUGUUCGGAAUUAUUGGGCGUAAAGAGCACGUAGGUGGGUUUGUAAGUCAGAUGUGAAAGCCUUCUGUUCAACGGAAGAAUUGCAUCUGAAACUACAAGUCUUGAGUGUAGGAGGGGAGAAUGGAACUUCUGGUGGAGCGGUGAAAUGCGUAGAUAUCAGAAGGAACGCCGGCGGCGAAAGCGAUUCUCUGGCCUAUUACUGACACUCAGUGUGCGAAAGCUAGGGGAGCAAACGGGAUUAGAUACCCCGGUAGUCCUAGCCGUAAACGAUGGGCACUAAGUAGAGGGGUUUUA
rnacentral:rRNA from 1 species